rnacentral:rRNA from 1 species
UCCCUUAGUAGCGGCGAGCGAACAGGGAAGAGCCCAGCGCCGAAUUCCGCGUCUCAAAGGGCGUUUGGAACAUGUGGCGUUUAGGAGGAAUCUCUCCGAGGGCAGACGGUGUCGCAAGUCCCCCUGAACGGGGCUGUGAUCCAGAGCGGGUGCGAGGCCCAUAGCUGGUACCGUCUCCUUCGGGUGUCCCCUCCUUGGAGUCGGGUUGCUUGGGAGUGCAGCCCUAAUUGGGUGGUAAACUCCACCUAAGGCUAAAUACGUCCGUGAGACCGAUAGCAAACAAGUACCGUGAGGGAAAGUUGCAAAGAACUUUGAAGAGAGAGUUCAAGAGUACGUGAAACCGCUCAGAGGCAAACGGGUGGGCCCACGAAAGCCGAAGGCGGGGGGAUUCAGUCGAGAGGACGGUGGGGCAGGACUGGCUGGUUGGACGGACCGUGCCAGGCCGGGUCAGUUCCCGAGAUCUGCCGCCUUUCGACGCAUUUCCCCCUGCUUAGUAGGACGCCGCAACCGGUUGGCGCUGCAGCCAUAAGGGAGAGUAAAUGGAAGGUAGCCAGUGAGUUCUUCUUCGGAGGCGCGAGCUGGUCCUAAGCCGACUCUCCUGGUGCUUGUGGCCCGACCGUGGUCGUGAGUCCCUCAACGGGAUGUCGCCGAGCCCUCUGACUGGAGCGGGAGAAAUGGCAGGCUGCUUUCCGCGGAAAAAAUCGAUCGCUUCACGCGUGCAGUGGGCGAUCUCCGGAGGUAGCUGCUGGUGCAUUUUUCUCCUGCGCUGGGCACAGGCAGUUGGCGGCGAGUAGGUCGGUCACCCACCCGACCCGUCUUGAAACACGGACCAAGGAGUCUAACAUGUGCGCGAGUCAUUNGGGUCUUGAACAAGCCCAAAGGCGCAAUGAAAGUGAAGACCAGCACUGAAGCUGGUGGAGUUGGGAAACUGCGUCACUGAAGAUGCAGUUGCACCAACGGCCCGUCCCGUCCGCAUCGUCGGUGGGGCGGAGCGAGAGCGUACACGUUGGGACCCGAAAGAUGGUGAACUAUGCCUGGGCAGGACGAAGCCAGAGGAAACUCUGGUGGAGGUCCG